UACGUAGGGUGCGAGCGUUAAUCGGAAUACUGGGCGUAAAGCGUGCGCAGGCGGUUUUGUAAGCCAGAUGUGAAAUCCCCGGGCUUAACCUGGGAAUGGCAUUUGGGACUGCAAGGCUCGAGUGCGGCAGAGGAGACUGGAAUUCCUGGUGUAGCAGUGAAAUGCGUAGAUAUCAGGAGGAACACCGAUGGCGAAGGCAGGUCUC
rnacentral:rRNA from 1 species